AAUGAACGCUUGCGGCAGGCUUAAUACAUGCAAGUCGAACGAACCUAGUUGUUUGGUUCGCCAAAUGACAACGGUUAGUGGCAGACGGGUGAGUAAUGCAUAGGAAUCUGCCCGGAAGUUCGGGAUAACUGCUAGAAAUGGCAGCUAAUACCGGAUGUUCCCCGAGGGGAAAAGGAAUUUUGAUGUAUAAAUUUCAUCCUUUAUGGAUGUUGUUUGUACAUUUAGCUUUGCUUCCGGAUGAGCCUAUGUUGGGUUAGCUAGUUGGUGGGGUAAAGGCCUACCAAGGCUAUGAUCUAUAGCUGGUCUUAGAGGAUGAACAGCCACACUGGAACUGAGACACGGUCCAG
rnacentral:rRNA from 1 species